ensembl:lincRNA
AUACAAAAACUCGAGCCACUUCUAAGAGCCUGAUACCUGUUAAAUCCAAAGACAUCGACAUUUCCAAAAAUCAUCAUUCAGACAAUGAUACAACGAAAAUCACCAAACCAAAACGAGAGAAUAGGCAGAUGAAAGCUGCAGAGCCCACCAUUAAGAGGAACAUACGAAAGAGCUGCAGGCCAUCAAGGGAACAAAAAUCAGAGGAAGAGCUGAAAGAUAAGAACGAGCUCUUAGAGACUGUCAACAAGCAGUUGCACCAGAAGUUGGUUAAAACUCAGGGAGAGCUGAAGGACCUAACCCAGAAGGUGGAGCUGCUGGAGAAGUUUCAGGACAACUGUUUAGCAGUUUUAGAGCGCAAAGGUCUUAACCCAGGCAGCAACACCCUGGCAUCACAGCAGGAAGCCACUAUGGACCACAUGGACUCUGUGCUGCUGUUAGAAACUUUACAAGAUGAGCUGAAGCUAUUUAAUGAAACAGCCAAGAAGCAGAUGGAGGAGUUACAGGCCUUAAAAGUAAAGUUGAAGAUGAAAGAAGAAGAACGGGCCCAAUUCCUAGAGCAGCGAACUUUAUAUAAGCGACAAGUUACUGACUUUACAAAAGCGCUGGAGGAAAUGGAGCAGCUAUUGGAGAUGUAAUCAAAGGACAGCGGCCUGAUGGCUCCUUCUCAGGGAUGAACUCUGAGGAAGCCACUUAGGACAUCUUGGCCAUAGACUCCUAUGACUCACUGUCUUCAGGGUGAAAACAGUUUGAGGAAUCAGAUUAGGGCAGUUUAUUGCUGCAAUAGCAGCUUCUCCAUUAAGCAAGUUCUCUUGUCUUUAGACUGGUCAACUCUCCGGAGCCUCACAGUAGAUAACAGAGGCUACAAGAGAGGGACCGGGAAGCUUGAUCCACCUCCAAGGCCUCUCCGACACACGUUAGAUCAGGAGAUGAGAGCCAAGCGUAGGGGCACACAUCUGAUCCAAGCAUGGGGGAGGCUGAGGCAGGCAGAGGAUCCCUUGAGCUAAGGAGUUCAAGGUAAGCUUUGCGACACAGCAAGAUGGCGACUGAGCAUACAGAUCAGGAAACUACACCAGCCAGGACCUAGGCGGUCACAGACAGAUUUGCAGAAGGAAACCCUUGAUUACAAUUGGAGUGCGUUAAUUCCACGGGAGACAACACUUGAGAAGCCACACUGUCCUCUUCUUUCUUGUGAUGCGUUGUGUCCCAUCGUGGUUGGGCUCUGCACUUCAUUGAAAGUUAUGAACUUGAAGUUGCAUGAAGGUUUUUUGCUUAAUAAAUGGGAUGAAGGUAUCAAUAACAGUGCCUGAAAAAAAUACAUUGGGAGCUUUUACUCUAAAUGGCAUUUGCUUUUUUUAUUUAAAGUAUUUUAAACUGCCUGUGGUGGUGUACGCCUGUAGUCCCAGCACUCGGGAGAAGUUGCCAUGGUUUCAAGACCACCCUGAACUACGUGGUGAGACCCUGGCUCGAAAAAUAAAAAUAAGAAAGCCAGGGAUUUGGCUCAGUGAUUCCAUUGCCUGCCUCGCAAGUGCAAGGACCUGAGUUCAAUCCCUGGUACCAAAAAAUAAAUAAAUAAAAUAGGAGGGCCGGGGAUUUAGCUCAGUGGUGCUGCCACCUGCCUUGCAAGCACAAGGUCCUGAGUUUGAUCCCCAGUACCAAAAAAUAAAAUAGGCCUGGGGAUUUAGCUCAGUGGCACCACACCUUCCUCGAAAGCACAAGAUCCUGAGUUCGAUUCCCCAGUACCAAAAAAAUAAUAGCCAAGCAUGGUGGCAUACACCUGUAAUCUCAGCACUCAGGAGGCUAAGGUAGGAUUGAUGUGAGUUUGAGGCCAGCCUGGGCUACACAGUGAGACUCUCAACAAAACAAAAAAUUGUAUUUUUUCGAAAUAAAUAUCUCCAUAAAACUUUAACUGUAACAUUGAGGAAUGAAAAUAGCUUUUUAACUUGUGUGUCAACCGGACAUUAUGAUAAUAUGUUCAAUAUUCUGAUUUACCCAGAAUGUUUUCCUCUGUUCAUUGAGUCCACCCUCCACUCGCCCCCUACUUUCCAGUGUCACUGGGUGUCCCCAUUUGUAGCAGCAGAUGCCAGGCUCCCACAGGUUUUCCCAGUCACUGUGUGUAUUUGCUGUAGAUGCCUGCAGUUUGCUGACAGCCAGUCCUUGGUCUGGUCCAUACAUCACAUAGUCUGUGGCCUGAAGUCUAUAGCAGCUUCCCUUCAGGUUUGCCAAACUCAAAGCCAAAUUUUCUUAGUCUUGUUUGGCUAGUUGUCUUUUUUUUUUUUUUUUGGUUUUUUUGAGUCAAGGUCUUGCUAUGUAGUUCAGGCUGGCCUCAAAUUCAUGGUGAUCCUGCCACAGCCUCCCAAGAGCUGGGAUUACAGAAUUGUGCC